rnacentral:rRNA from 1 species
AACGAACGCUGGCGGCAUGCCUAACACAUGCAAGUCGAACGAGACCGUCCGGUCUAGUUGCGCACGGGUGCGUAACGCGGGGUAACCUGCCCGUAGGUUCGGAAUCACUCCCCGAAAGGGGUGCUAAUACCGGAUAAUGUCUUCGGACCAAAGAUUUAUCGCCUUUGGAUGGGCCCGCGUUGGAUUAGCUAGUUGGUAGUGUAAAAGCCUACCAAGGCGACGAUGCAUAGCUGGUCUGAGAGGAUGAUCAUGCACACUGGGACUGAGACCCGGCCCAGACUCGUACGGGAGGGAGCAGUAGAGAAUAUUGGGCAAUGAGCGCAAGUCUGAUACAGCCAUGCGGCGUGAGUGAUGAAGGGCUUAGGGUUGUAAAGCUCUUUUACCCGGGAUGAUAAUGACAGUAACGGGAGAAUAAGCUCCGGCUAACUACGUG